rnacentral:rRNA from 1 species
GAUCCUGGCUCAGGAUGAACGCUGGCGGCGUGCCUAACACAUGCAAGUCGAACGGAACUAUUUUGGAAACUCCUUCGGGAGCGGAAUCUUUAGUUUAGUGGCGGACGGGUGAGUAACGCGUAUCCAACCUGCCCAUCACUUGGGAAUAACCUUGCGAAGUAAGACUAAUACCCAAUGAUAUCCCACGAAGGCAUCCGAAUGGGAUUAAAGAUUUAUCGGUGAUGGAUGGGGAUGCGUCUGAUUAGCUUGUUGGG